ACAUCUGUCAGGGAUGGUCUAGAUAAUACUUAAUCCUGUGUGAGUGCAGGGGACUGGACUAGAUGACCUCUCAAGGUCCCUUUCAGUUCUAUGAUUAGAACCACAAUCUUUCAGGGUGAAGAAGUUUGGCCUUAAAAAGGGAGUCCUAGCCCCUAUCACUCCUCAAGUGGCCAGAGGGAUCAUUGUUGAGGCAUCAAAGCCCUCUUGCAGGGGCUAACCUGGUACGGAAGUUAGGGGUGUAGUAGAAGUACUUAUUAAUUCAGACAUCUGGGCUGCAGUGAAGCAAAAACCCCAUGUUAGAGUCUUAUAGGCAGGGGUGUUGUUUUAAGGUUAGCAAAUUGGACCUUUAAUCAAUUUGAUGUAUUGUUCUCAUCUAAGUCUAUAGAGACAGCACGAAAGUACUACGCUUUGUGCACCUUUCAAAGGGCCUGCAACAGCAGUGACACCUUCGAACUGUGAAGCAAACUUCAAAUACUACAUGGAAGAUCGUUGCAUUCCUCUCACACAGUCACCACACAGCUGCUACAUUAAAAUGAACUGAUUUGAGAGAAAAAUAGUUUAAACCAGGACAUUUCAGAGAAUUGCAAUGGACAAGUGGACUGCUAUCUACACUGACAGGUAUCAACAUAGCAGAGGACUCCACGUCUUUGUUAAAAGCUACCAUGGAACUUAAAGAGGAAGACCUGUGCCAGCAAAGCUCCAGAUAGAUUUACUAACGGAUUUUUGAAUCCAGGCAGUUAAUCUUUUUGUCUCUCAGUCCAAGAGUUCAGGUCAGAGGAAAUGGAUCUUCACAUUGUUAAGUAAAUUUUUUUAGUUUUGGAAGAGAACACUGAUGUAUAUAUAUUGAGAACUUGUAUAUGUUGGAUACAGAAUGGAUCAUCCACGCUACUGGAUAAAGGUGCGUAGGCCUCAUUAACUAUGUGUUUAUUUUGAGCAAUGCUUUGACAAGCUGAUAAAAUGUCUAGAAACAGCUAGUCUGCUCUGAGACUGUAGCUGUGUGCUCCAGAAGUCAGAGUGCCCCGACCAAUAUUUCAUCAAGACGUGUACCUGCAUCUACGCAUAAAUUAGAGUGAGUUAGCUAAAGUUUUCAAGCUUUUUAACCCAUAUGAUGG